rnacentral:misc_RNA from 1 species
UGAUGCUCCCUACAAUUAUGUAUGCAGGAAGAAACGAAUUUGCUUUGCAUCUUGAAGCAGGUAUAAGGUCAUAGACUGCAGCUAUGACCCCACCAUUGUUCCCAUCUCCCUCUUCUACAGAAUUCUAACUCUGUAUAUGGUGACAUGCACGAAUCACUGCUCAAAUCUAGAGGAAAUUUUGGUGACGACUUACAACCAGUAUGAAAUCCCUCUUAAGCUUAAUAAUGAUGAUUAUGAAAUCUUUGAUUCUUUUUAGUGUUUUAUUGCUGGUUUCUCCACCAUUCAAGCAUUACAGCAAAUAUAAAUCCAAGGGA